UACGGGGGGGGCAAGCGUUGUUCGGAAUUACUGGGCGUAAAGGGUGCGUAGGUGGCGCGCUAAGUCGGGUGUGAAAUUUCGGAGCUUAACUCCGAAACUGCAUUCGAUACUGGCGUGCUUGAGGACUGGAGGGGAGACUGGAAUUCAUGGUGUAGCAGUGAAAUGCGUAGAGAUCAUGAGGAAGACCAGUGGCGAAGGCGGGUCUCUGGACAGUUCCUGACACUGAGGCACGAAGGCCAGGGGAGCAAACGGG
rnacentral:rRNA from 1 species